CCGAGCAGCACUGAGCAACAGAAAUGUAACCCAAACCCAGCAUAUGAUCUGUGUCAAGGGAGAGAGCCAUCAGUCAUUCUCAUCUCUUGAAUUUCAUGGCCUCAUUGCUUCCUUCCCACCUGUAAUCACAGCUGUGCCUGUGUGACACACACUAGAGUGCUAGUGAUGGUUUAUGGGUUUCAAGGCUACAGUGUUGCAGACUCUGCCUGGCUCCCUUGGAUUACCUAGACUGGGGGAAGCCUUAAGCCCUCUCAUGACGACAUGGAAGUAGCCCUGUGGACAGCUACACAUGGAAAAACUGAGGUUCUCAGUCAACAACUGGUAUCAACUUGCCAGCCAUGUGAAUGAGCCACUUUGAAAGUAUAGCUCCCAGCUCAGCCAGGCCUUCAGAUGACUGCAGCCCCCACAUCUGGCAUCAAUCACCUAAGCCUUCGAGUGGGAAAUGUACAGCCAAGCCCUUCUAGAAACCCUGAUCUGCAGAAUCUAUGAUCACAAUAAAUUACUG
rnacentral:lncRNA from 10 species